rnacentral:lncRNA from 1 species
CCUCGAGGAGCUGCAGAGCAACUACAGCCAGCGGCUGGUCAGCCUGCGGGGCGAGCUCAACCACACCCUGCAGAAAUGUGGCUCCUCCUGCGGCCGAGUGUCCCUGGACGGGCUCGCCUUCACCGCCAACUUCAGCACGAUCCCAGGUGUGGAGCAGCAGCUGGAGGCACUGCGUGAGGUCUCUGAGUUAAACAUGGAGACUGAUUUAGAGGAGGUUAACAGAACGCUGAGCAUGACCCCUGACAAGGUGCAAAAGCAGUCCCAGGAAGUGGUGGCAAAGAGCCAGGACCAGCUGGGUCUCAUCAGGCAGGAGAUCAGAAGCUUGCAGGAAGGGUUGCCACUCCUGGAUGUGGAGGAGAAAGUUGGGGCCUUUGUGAACAAUGCCACAUCGAUGCUGGAGGAGUACAGGGAGCCGGUCAUCGCCUGGGAUGGGCUCAGGUGGGUGAGGGGCUGCUGCCCCAGCUCCAUUGUCUGGAGAGUUUUAAGGUUCCUGCUCCUUCCAUUGCUAGAGGUGGGAGCUUGCUGGGUGGUGGGGUUGUGGGUGCAGGGUAGUCAGAGCUGUGCCUUGCAUCAUGCCCCUUCCCUG